rnacentral:antisense_RNA from 1 species
GUCCUGGACGCCCCUUCGCGGUCCGCACUGGCGGGUGCCCUCUCCUGAGGGGAACUGAGGCGGGGCGCCUGCCACCAUUCGUGAUUUUCCGUGACUCACCCUCUCAACAGUGUCCCGUCAGCCCCCGCUUUCUGGAACUACGAUGACUUUCCAUGGGCAUUAUAGUCAGAGGAGGUUUUCUGUGAGACAUCUGGGAAAGGUGACUCAAUGAUGACUCAUAUUGUUCUAUUAUGUUAUACAUUUAACUGGGAUACUGGUGAAUAGCUUUUAUAUCUUGGAAUUUUUUCCCAUUUUUGAAUCAGAAAUUUAGGACCAAGAAUCUUCUGUCACAGAACCUAUUACUUUAAGGAGUGAACUUAUAUUAACGGUGCUAAACCGCACAUGAACGACUUGGUAGAUGAAAACUUUGGAAAAUAGGAACAUUUCAUGUCAUCACAUGUAUCCUCCAGCAUUGGGGAAAGUUCAACAGUUGCCUUAAGGCGGGGGUUUAAUUGAGGACAUUUACUAAAAAGUUACUUAUUCUUUUUGAAAUUCUCUUCUGAUAAACAUCUUCCCGGGAUAAUGAACAUCUCCAGGAUGUGAGAGGCGAGCGCGUGUCCGGGGAGUGCUUGAGCAACGCAGGAUGGCUUCGGUGCUGCGUUCCUUAGACCCGUGCAGACCCUGCUGAGCCCUCAGCAUCUAUUGUGAAUAAUUGGUCUACUUUGAAGCUCAGAAGAGUCAUUGUGAGUAAUAUGGACAGAGUAAAAGAGUUAUGACAUUAGCUGUUAGUGACGUUAGCUCGAAGCCCACAACAGUCAUAGAAAGGGGGAGACUUCACAACACCAUCUCCCUGGUAUCCACUGGACUUUGAUGGGUGGCAUCCACUAGCGGAAUUCAGAAAAAUGAAGGUGUGAAAUCGGUUUUUAUAAAGAAGAGAACCAUGCUAUGGAGAAGGAUUACUGUAUCGCCUCUUCAGAAGCCUUGUAUGAUGCCAUCCUGGGAUACAGCUGAGUAAGCCUGCAUUCUUAACAUCGUAUAGGACAUUCUAGCAUAGAAGCCUAUGGAAUGAGGCCACUUGUUUUCAAAUCCAGCCCCCACCCUUGUGUGACCAUGGGCUAAUUGAUUAAGCUCCCCACAGUUCCAAUUUCUCCAUAUAGUUGGCAUACAAGGGUUUGUUUUGAGCAUUGAUGUAAGUUAUAUCCAGUAAUAUUUGCAAACAUCUUAGAAUGUGGCUGGUGUAGGUAAGUGCUCUCGAUCUCACAUUCCCAAAAGCACAUUUCUCAGACCAUGAGUCAUUCCUGCCUCUGACCAUCCUGCCAAAAUGCAUGCCUUCUCAGGUCCCCUUAUUCUGAAGAAAAUAAAACAACAACUUGUUGUUAUUGAAUGAUUAGAGUGUGGGAGGAUGAUCUGUAUAAACUUCUUGAUAUAUCCUCCUACACAUAAUCCAUGGAUCUGACCUCUUAGAUACUUAAAAAAGGUGGACAGUUUACAUCAAAAUUAUUUGUAAGCCUAGAAAUAUUUUCAGAGGCUUACCAAAAUACAAGCUUUAAUUUCAUUUCAA